rnacentral:rRNA from 1 species
AGUGAACGCUGGCGGUAGGCCUAACACAUGCAAGUCGAACGGCAGCACAGUAAGAGCUUGCUCUUACGGGUGGCGAGUGGCGGACGGGUGAGGAAUACAUCGGAAUCUACUUUUUCGUGGGGGAUAACGUAGGGAAACUUACGCUAAUACCGCAUACGACCUACGGGUGAAAGCAGGGGAUCUUCGGACCUUGCGCGAUUGAAUGAGCCGAUGUCGGAUUAGCCAGUUGGCGGGGUAAAGGCCCACCAAGGCGACGAUCCGUAGCUGGUCUGAGAGGAUGAUCAGCCACACUGGAACUGAGACACGGUCCAGACUCCUACGGGAGGCAGCAGUGGGGAAUAUUGGACAAUGGGCGCAAGCCUGAUCCAGCCAUACCGCGUGGGUGAAGAAGGCCUUCGGGUUGUAAAGCCCUUUUGUUGGGAAAGAAAAGCAGCAGGUUAAUACCCCGCUGUUCUGACGGUACCCAAAGAAUAAGCACCGGCUAACUUCG